CUUUGACCUGAACUCAGUCGAGAGCACCCGCUGAACUUAAGCAUAUCAGUAAGCGGAGGAAAAGAAACUAAACAGGAUUCCCCCAGUAACGGCGAGUGAACAGGGAAAUGUCCAUCGCUAAAUCAUUUUGCCUCAGGCAUUAUGAGGUGUAGCGUAUAAGCCGUAAUUUUUGAUCAAGUGUCUCAAACAAGUCCCCUUGACAGGGGUUCCACAGAAGGUGCAAGUCCUGUACAUUGAGAUAAUUGAUCGAUAUUUGCGUGCUUUAGAGUCGGGUUGUUUGGGAUCGCAGCCCAAAGUCGGUGGUAAACUUCAUCUAAGACUCAAUAUUGCCACGAGACCGAUAGCAAACAAGUACUGUGAAGGAAAGUUGCAAAGCACUUUGAAGAGAGAGUUAAAGAGGACGUGAAACCGGUGAGGUGGAAACGGAUAGAGUCGGCGUAUCUUUCAAGUAUUCAUUUACAUUAUUUUUAUGUUGUGAUCUCUGAGCUCCAGAUUGGGACAGAGGGAAGCAGCAUAAUUUUCUGUGAUGCAUUUACUUGUUUGGUGCUUGGGGAUGUUUGAGGCGGAUUUGUAACCGCCGUUUUGAGGCCAGCUUGCUGGUACCCAAACGGUGUUAGCAUUUUUUGUUUUGUACAUUUGAGUAUGGCUUCGGGCAUUUAUUGGUUCGAUCUGAGUGUAAGUUACGGUCGCAUGCGACACGUGCUUUUCAAUUAGUUCGGUCCAGUUAAUGCUCUCGUACUCGCUCCCCAUGUAAAAGCCGGUCAUCUAUCCGACCCGUCUUGAAACACGGACCAAGGAGUUUAUCGUGUGCGCAAGUUUUUGGGUGUUAAAAACCUAAAGGCGAAAUGAAAGUAAAUGGCUCUUUAGAGUCUGAUGUGCGAUCUUGUAAAAAAGUGCAGCAUGGCCCCAUUCUAACUGUUUACAGCAGGGUGGCGGAAGAGCGUACGCGGUGAGACCCGAAAGAUGGUGAACUAUUCCUGAGCAGGACGAAGCCAGAGGAAACUCUGGUGGAAGUCCGAAGCGGUUCUGACGUGCAAAUCGAUCGUCUGACUUGGGUAUAGGGGCGAAAGACUAAUCGAACCAUCUAGUAGCUGGUUCCCUCUGAAGUUUCCCCCAGGAUAGCUGGAGCUCACGAGUAGUUAUACUCGGUAAAGCGAAUGAUUAGAGGACUUGGGAACGAAAUGUUCUUAACCUAUUCUCAAACUCUAAAUGGGUAUGAUGUCAAAGUUGCUUGAUUUUGAACUUUGGCGUUGAAUACGAGCUCCAAGUGGGCCAUUUUUGGUAAGCAGAACUGGCGAUGUGGGAUGAACCAAACGCGGAGUUGCGGUGCCAAAGUGCCCGCUCAUUAGACCCCAUAAAAGGUGUUGGUUGAUACAGACAGCAGGACGGUGGCCAUGGGAGUCGGAAUCCGCUAAGGAGUGUGUAACAACUCACCUGCCGAAUCAACUAGCCCUGAAAAUGGAUGGCGCUGGAGCGGGCCACCUAUACUCUGCCGUCAUAUGCUUGUAUUCCGUGAAGAGUCUUGCAAUGACGUGUAAGAGGGUCGUAGUGGUUGCGUUGAAGGCUUUGGGUGUGCACCCAGCUGGAGCUUCCACUAGUGCAGAUCUUGGUGGUAGUAGCAAAUAUUCAAGUGAGAUCCUUGAAGACUGAAGUGGAGAAGGGUUCCACGUGAACAGCAGUUGAAUGUGGGUCAGUCGAUCCUAAGGCACCGGCUAAAGCCGUCUAGACACUGCGGGGAGAUGAGAUACUUAACGGUAUUUUGUCCACCCGGUUGCCGAAAGGGAAGUGGGUUAAUAUUCCCACACCAGGCAUGGGAGAUGGUGAUCCGCAAGGAUUACUUUGCGCGGUGACGCAAACGAACUCGUAGACCUCGUGUGGAGUCCGGGCCAGAGUUCUCUUUUCUGGUUUAGAGAUCAUGUCCCUGGAAGUGGCUCAGCCUGAGAUAGGGAUGCUGGUCUCGUAAAGCGCAGCGGUUCCUGUUGUGUCCCGUGUGCUCCACAUGAGCCGUGAAAAUGCGAGGGAGGCAAUUUAAAAUCUCCUGCCUGAUCGUACCCAUAUCCGCAGCAGGUCUCCAAGGUGAACAGCCUCUAGUCGAUAGAAUAAUGUAGGUAAGGGAAGUCGGCAAAUUAGAUUCGUAACUUCGGGAAAAGAAUUGGCUCUAAAGGUUGGGUCAGUCGGGCUGUUGUGUGAAACAGGUGGACUUUGCUCGUGGCUGCUUGAGCUUCUCUUCGGGGCGGCGCUUGUGGACUAGUAGUGAGGACUGCUUGUGGAGCGCUUCAGCUGCGUGCUAUUUCGCAAGAUAUAGUACUUCGAUUGGCGCUGAACAACCAGUUUAGAACUGGCACGAACUCCGGGAAUCCGACUGUCUAAUUAAAACAGAGGAGACGGAUGGUCCUUGCAGGACGUUGACCGUGUCUGAUUUCUGCCCAGUGCUCUGAAUGUUAAGCCAAGGAAACUUGAUUAAGCGCGGGUAAACGGCGGGAGUAACUAUGACUCUCUUAAGGUAGCCAAAUGCCUCGUCGGCUAACUACCGACGCGCACGAAUGGAUCAACGAGAUUCCCACUGUCCCUAUCUACUAUCUAGCGAAACCACAGCCAAGGGAACGGGCUUGGCAAAUUUAGCGGGGAAAGAAGACCCUGUUGAGCUUGACUCUAGUCUGACUUUGUGAAGAAUCAUGAGAGGUGUAGCAUAAGUGGGAGUCGCAAGACAACAGUGAAAUACCACUACUUUCAUCGAUUCCUUACUUAAUCGGUAAAACGGGAGUUGUGUCUACGCACCUUCAUUUUUGUUUUAAGACUAGCCACUCGGUGGUUGGUUGACUCGCGCCGAUGACAUUGUCAGGCGGGGAGUUUGACUGGGGCGGUACAUCUGUCAAAUUGUAACGCAGGUGUCCUAAGGCGAGCUCAGAGAGGACGGAAACCUCUCGUUGAGCAAAAAGGCAAAUGCUUACUUGAUCUUGAUUUUCAGUACGAAUACAGACCGCGAAAGCGUGGCUUAUCGAGAGUACGAGACGAGAGGAACGAGAGGAACCGCAGGUUCAGACAUUUGGUUCAUGUGCCUGGUCGAUAGGCCAAUGGCGCGAAGCUACCAUCUGAGGGAUUAUGACUGAACGCCUCUAAGUCAGAAUCCCGCCCAGUCAUGAUAGCAAUAUAUAUCGCUCUCCGGUGUCGGAAGGCAAAAUGUAUGCCACUUUUUAGUGGUAGUACAAGCCCCAGUAUCUGGCAUUUUCCUUCUACUAUAAUUGGUAGCUGGUUGCUAAAAGC
rnacentral:rRNA from 1 species